rnacentral:rRNA from 2 species
UACGAAGGGGGCUAGCGUUGCUCGGAAUCACUGGGCGUAAAGCGCACGUAGGCGGACUCUUAAGUCGGUGGUGAAAUCCUGGAGCUCAACUCCAGAACUGCCUUCGAUACUGAGAGUCUCGAGUCCGAGAGAGGUGAGUGGAACUGCGAGUGUAGAGGUGAAAUUCGUAGAUAUUCGCAAGAACACCAGUGGCGAAGGCGGCUCACUGGCUCGGUACUGACGCUGAGGUGCGAAAGCGUGGGGAGCAAACAGG